rnacentral:rRNA from 1 species
CACGUAGGGUGCGAGCGUUGUCCGGAAUUAUUGGGCGUAAAGAGCUCGUAGGCGGUGUGUCACGUCGGCCGUGAAAACCUGCAGCUUAACUGUGGGCGUGCGGUCGAUACGGGCAUCACUGGAGUUCGGCAGGGGAGACUGGAAUUCCUGGUGUAGCGGUGAAAUGCGCAGAUAUCAGGAGGAACACCAAUAGCGAAGGCAGCUCGCUGGGACGGUACUGACGCUGAGGCGCGAAAGCGUGGGGAGCAAACAGG